GAUGAACGCUGGCGGCGUGCCUAAUACAUGCAAGUCGAGCGAACGGACGAGAAGCUUGCUUCUCUGAUGUUAGCGGCGGACGGGUGAGUAACACGUGGAUAACCUACCUAUAAGACUGGGAUAACUUCGGGAAACCGGAGCUAAUACCGGAUAAUAUUUUGAACCGCAUGGUUCAAAAGUGAAAGACGGUCUUGCUGUCACUUAUAGAUGGAUCCGCGCUGCAUUAGCUAGUUGGUAAGGUAACGGCUUACCAAGGCAACGAUGCAUAGCCGACCUGAGAGGGUGAUCGGCCACACUGGAACUGAGACACGGUCCAGACUCCUACAGGAGGCAGCAGUAGGGAAUCUUCCGCAAUGGGCGAAAGCCUGACGGAGCAACGCCGCGUGGGUGAUGAAGGUCUUCGGAUCGUAAAACUCUGUUAUUAGGGAAGAACAUAUGUGUAAGUAACUGUGCACAUCUUGACGGUACCUAAUCAGAAAGCCACGGCUAACUACGUG
rnacentral:rRNA from 1 species